rnacentral:rRNA from 1 species
AGAUUGAACGCUGGCGGCAGGCCUAACACAUGCAAGUCGAGCGGUAGAGAGGUGCUUGCAUCUCUUGAGAGCGGCGGACGGGUGAGUAAUGCCUAGGAAUCUGCCUAGUGGUGGGGGAUAACGUUCGGAAACGGACGCUAAUACCGCAUACGUCCUACGGGAGAAAGCGGGGGACCUUCGGGCCUCGCGCCAUUAGAUGAGCCUAGGUCGGAUUAGCUAGUUGGUGAGGUAAUGGCUCACCAAGGCGACGAUCCGUAACUGGUCUGAGAGGAUGAUCAGUCACACUGGAACUGAGACACGGUCCAGACUCCUACGGGAGGCAGCAGUGGGGAAUAUUGGACAAUGGGCGAAAGCCUGAUCCAGCCAUGCCGCGUGUGUGAAGAAGGUCUUCGGAUUGUAAAGCACUUUAAGUUGGAGGAAGGUUGACGAACUUAAGUACGUUUGCUAACUUUGACGUUACCGACAGAAUAAGCACGGCUAACUUCGUGCCAGCAGCCG